rnacentral:lncRNA from 1 species
AUCACUCAAGGCUCUGAGCCACACCCCUCCCCCCAAGAAAGACAAAAACACACAGUCUCUGGCACGCGGGCGAGGUGGGCGUGAGGGGCUGUGACAAGCAGGCUGGCUGCCCUGACCUGAACUGCCCCCAGCCGGCCGCCCCUGCAUCUUCCCUGCUCUUUCCAUCUCGGCCUCGGUUUCCUCAAAGCUCUUCUGGCUCCCGCUAGCGCCAUUCACAUCUCUGAGCCUUCAUCCAGCUCCUCCUCAGGCCUCGCAUCCCAGCCAGGCUGGGGGCAGGCCGCCCCCUGCCCUCCCCAGGCACUCCGCUAGAACUUGAGGUCUCCUAAGUGCUGGGCAGUAUCUGGGCUGUUCCUCCGACCACUGCAUCGUGAGCGUCUCAGCUGUGCAACUCCAGGGAGGGGUCCCUGUGCCUCUGCACCAUGAGCCCAAACAGGGUCUGGAGCCUGGAUCCCACCUCAUCUGGAUUGCCCAGGCCUUUGCAGACAAGCCUUCAGAGAGGGCCCAGACCUCGGCCCUUCUGUCCUGGACUUCCCUGAGGACCUGGGUGGGGAGGGACAUGGUGGCAUGGCCAGGCCCAGGAGGGCAGAAGGCCAGAGGGUAUGGUCCAGAGUGGGUGACCCAGUGAGGGCUGUGUGGCAGAGCAGGACAAGAAAUGUGAUGGGGACGGAGGGAGGGCUGUGGCCCUUUGCCAAGCACACCCCACAUGAACCCCUGCAGGGAGACCCUCCCUGCACAUUGAGAUCCCUCCCUCCCCUACAGUAAGCCCCUCCCCCAUCACUAAGCCCCUUCUCCUCUCUCUGCGCCACCAUCCCCUCACUGUCCCUGCUCACUGUCCUCCCCCGCCUUAAGUCCCAUCCUAACUGCACUCUCUACCCUCAAGCCCCUGCCCCCCCCGCAUCCCCCUGACUUGCAGAGCAGCGAGCAGCUCAGACCCUGGUGCUGUGGCCUCUUCCAGGGUCUGGCCUGGACCCAGGCGUUUUCUAGGGGCACCUCCGGUCGGUUCCCCCUUCGUGGCACGCCGGGAAUGCAGCCCCUGCACACACAGGCCCCCUCCGCCGCGGAGAGGAGCUCAGUCCCGUGGACUUUUAAGGACUGAACAGGGAGCGAGCUCCGUCCCGGGCCUGGCCGAGCUGUCCUCCAGAUCUGGCCCCGUCACGGAGGGGCUUGGCUGGCUGCCCCAGUGGGGAGGGGUCUCAGCGCUUAGAUCAGGAAUGAACGGGGGCUGGGCACAUGUCGCGUCUGGCUGGGCCUCUGUCCCUCCUUCGGCCCCCCUUGGGUGGUGCUGAGGGCUGAGGACCCCUGCCCCUCUCUAGCAGGGGGUCCAGGCUGGGUCUCAGGG